rnacentral:tRNA from 1 species
GCGAGCAUAGCUCAGUCGGUUAGAGCGCUGGAUUGUGGAUCCAGAGGUCACGGGUUCGAUUCCCGUUGCUCGCC